CGGAAUUUGGCAAUGAGGAUAGGAGGCAGCUAAUAAAGCAGAACCUGGGUCUCGGCCGAAACGAAAAUCUUACCUGAAAACUUGGGGGAUGAGAGAGGCGGUGUAACCCCUUUUUGGGGGACGAGGCCUAAAACAUAACAGAUACGUAUUCCCUCCGCCUCUGUUGGGAAUAACUCAUGGAAGCUAAAUGGCGUUAAGGCGUCCAAACGGGCGCAAACGCCCUCGUCUGGCCCUGGAGUUGGCCCCGAUGAUUCAGAUGGCCCCGGAGCAGAAGACCGGCCACCGACCGAGCUUUCGAUGGCUUGCAAUCCAUGGCAAUUGCAGGGAAAAAAUCGCUGUAAAUUAAUCUCUCUGUAACGCAGUUGAAGCAUACAAGCGGCACGAGCGCCAGGAGGAGCAUAUCUAUGCCAUGGCGAGCCACGGGGCCCAUUGCAGCGGGCACCUGAGAUGCCAAACGAGCACGAGCACAUGCAAAACAGGGAGGCUCAUCCUCCGAAAACGGUUAAUACGAGCACCGGUAGGCAAAUAAGGCCCGACGCGCUCGAUGGGGCCGCGUCGAAAGCGAGCCGGCAACGCGCGGGAGCGGGCGAAAACACGGCGCAAAAGAACGCGUCCGAAGGAACAGGGCCAAGAUAGGGCCGCUUGGAAGGUAAACGACUCUAUAGGCAUUCUACAGGGAGCGCGCGCGCGCACGGCAGCAAUGUCGAGACCGGCCUACGCCAGGCAGUCGAACAAAGUUGUGGCUCACGCGCAAUGCCUGACCAAACCCUAAGAGAACACCGCGCAUGCGCGUCCACAACGACGAAAUAAUUACAGCCUCCGAUCGGUUACUGGUUGAUUGACAAGUUAGCAGAGUUCGUAUGGGAGUCUCCUACGGAGGCAGAGGUCCCGGCAUCGAGUCCAGCCAGAAGCGAAGAGUACUUACAGCGCCCGAUAAAUAGAAGAUAUUAAAAGAAACUACAACGAAGAAG
rnacentral:lncRNA from 1 species